CAACCACAUCCCUCCCCUACAGAAGCCCCAGAGCACAGCACCUCACCAUGGACUGGACCUGGAGACUCUUCCUCUUGGUGGCAGCAGCUACAGGCGCCCACUCCCAGGUGCAACUGGUGCAGUCUGGGGCUGAGGUGAAGAAGCCUGGAUCCUCAGUGAAGGUCUCCUGCAAGGCUUCCGGAUACACCUUCACUGACUACUACAUGCACUGGGUGCGACAGGCCCCUGGACAAGGGCUUGAGCGGAUGGGAUGGAUUAACACUGGCAGUGGUAGUACAGGCUACGCACAGAAGUUCCAGGGCAGAGUCACCAUGACCAGGGACACGUCCACGAGCACAGCCUACAUGGAGCUGAGCAGCCUGAGAUCUGAGGACACGGCUGUGUAUUACUGUACAACGGACACAGUGUGAAAACCACAUCUUGAGAGUGUCAGAAACCCUGAGGGAGGAGGCAGCUGUGCGGGGCUGAGGAGAUGACAGGAUUUAUGAGGUUGAAACCUGUUUAGAAAAUG